AAAAAGUCUCUUUUCAAGAUUUUCUGUUCUUCCAACUCUGGUCUUUUGUACAUUCCUGUUCACAAGAGAACCAUUUUAAAUACUUUAAAAUGUGCAUGCUACAGGAAAUUUGGGAAAUAGGGACACAAAUUUUGAGAUGUCAGUGUUCUACCACCCACUCAUAGUGUAGCAUCGAAACACCUGUUCUUUCAUCCGUGCGUCCAGUCGUGCAGAGGUUUCCUGAGCAGCAGGUAGACGCUGGCAAGCAGCCACCUGGCAGCCAUUUCACUCCCGAAGCUGCCAGUGUGUGGGGGAGACAAUCCGGCAGGCCACCACUACCUAGAAACAUAUGGGAAGGGUGCCCAACCCAGUUGGAGCAUCAAGGGAGACUUCCUGGAGGAUGUUACAUCCGGGCUAUGACAGGAAGGAGGACAGAGUAUGUUUCGUACAUUUCCUCUCAGUCUUUUCCCGGAAACAAAAGACAGAAGGAAACACAGAGACUGAACACUAUGCUACGCCCGGAGUUGCGCUUCCUCGCAGAGUCGCGACGCCUCAGUCUCCCUCUGCCAGAUAACUACUGUUCUCGCCAGUUUUACCAAUAAAAUAAUUGAGGUUUUGAGAGUUUAGAUAAUU
rnacentral:lncRNA from 1 species